rnacentral:lncRNA from 1 species
GCGGCCGCUGUAGAGUUCAUACAGCAUGGACAUGAUGGGUGGAGCAUGGAGUGGUCCGAACUUCGUCAUUGCAGCUUCAAUCGACCAUCUCGAAGCUAUAACUUGUCAUUGGUAACUUAUCUGCAUAAGGUUAUGAUUAGAUUCGCUUGGCUUCUAAUUUCUACCAUUCAAACGCCUUUAUGACACUGUAACAUAGAAAAGUUAAUCAAGUAUUUUUAUACUUACAAAAUAUUUCUGUGGCUACUUUUGAGCCAUGUAAUGUCGACAUGGCACUUAAAUUUUGUGAGAAGUGUAUAUACUCUAAACGUCAAGAUUUAUCUGUGUGGUGGAAAUCCUGCAAUAAUAUGUU